GGUUCCUGGCACCAUAGAGCUUUUUGUUUUUUGGGACGAUUGCCAGACCAGGUCUUGUUUCUAUACAAAACCUGAGAAGGUUCAGCAGUUGGGGUUUGGGGUGACUUGCUGUGUCAGGGUUCUCCCACUUCAUCAGCUUUCUUUGCCUCAUUUCCUAGCUGGAGCCUUUCCCAGGGCUUUUGAAUUCAUCUAAGAUACCAAGGACAUCUGAGCUGGGGUUUAAGACUUCCUCAAGAUGCCUGGGAAAGCCCUCAGUUUCAACGUUGAUCAAAUGGAUAUAAGACCACAAAACCCAUGAAAAUCUAGUUGUGCAAUCUGAGAGUGGUGUCCAUGUUAAAGAUCUUUUGGGUCUUUGGCAAAAAUUCAUGAGACUCUUAGAAAGAGACGAUGCUCUGACCUGAAGUCAUUAAGUUCUCCAUGAAGAGGAACUGCAGCUACGCUGACCAGACACCACCAUCAUCUGCCGUGCAAGGACGGGGAAUUAGCUUGUGCUGAUAGAGUUUUGAGCAUCUGGAAAACCUUUGGUCAGGAGGCCUAUUCCUGGUAAUAAAAGACCUGAAAAUGCCCUAAAUGUGGAGAUACAGAAGCCUGUCCUUUGAGAAGAAAAAGGAGAGGAAGUCUGCUCAUCUCCAACAGAAAGGAUGAAGUGCUGGGGUGGCGGGGGCUCUUAAGUUAGCAGGAACCAAGGCCUGCAUCAUAAGGCGUGUGUAGGAAGACUGGAUGCACUGCUGUACAGCAACCAAAGCUCCCGUAAAUCUUCUGUUAAAUCUUAACACAGAGCAAAAUAAGCCACAGGUCUUUGAACGGGCCUGUGGGGAAUGGGUAGAAUCCCUAUGGAGGUGAGUGGGCCAGGCUUCUUGUUAGUAGUGGCAUGGGGUCUGUGUCAGAUUUUAGAUUUGCUUUUAAUUUCAUUUUAAAAAAGUGAGUAUGACAUUUUAGUUCCUUGAAUAUAAUGGAGCAAGAAAUGGAAGCAUAUUGUACAUUUCCACAACUUUUGAUGCCUGGUAUGUAUUGAAUAAAUUUUAUUUGGUUUUAAUAAUAAUAAUAAAAUUAAUAAUACUAAAGCUUCUCCUGUUGUUCGCCCUGGAGUCAAGCUAUAAAGACCAAUAGAUCUAAGAUCAGAUAAAUGACUUGAACAAUUGUAUGGAAGAAUCUGGUAGUUGGUUAUCACAAUCCACGCUGUCCUGUACUUCCUGGUGUAUAGCUAGACUAUGUUCCCCCUCAGCAUUUCUUGCAAUUAACAUGUCCUCAUGUCUGAGUUCUAGCUAUCUGACAUGAGCAGAGGUAAACUACAUCCCUUGCAGGUAUGGACUAUUAGAAACGCUGAAGCACACCCCCUGGUGAUCUCUCUGCUCUGGCCUAUUGGAAUAGAAAUGAUCCCCAAAGUGACCUUAUAUCCUACAUGCUGAAGAUGCCAGAGGCUCCUUCGGUCUGUAUCACUGAAUAACACUGAGAAACAGAGUCAGCCCACAGACAAGAGUGCCCAUAAUGCACUGUUUCUUGAAUGAGCAAAAAAUAAAUUCCAUUGUGUUCAGCCACUGAGAUUCUGGGAUUAUCCUAGUGGUACCCUAAGUAACAAAACACACUGACUCCUCUUCCCCUACAAUCACCACCUGUUUCUGCCUUUUGUAAAGAAUGUCUUUAAAAUGGUGGAACAGAUAUAAGCAGAAUGAAUUGAAAAUCUAGUGUACAACUCACAUUUAGGCCCCUUAUCAAUAUGUUUUGUUUGCUACACAGGGAUUCUAUUUUAAUUCAUUUAGUUGCCAACAUUUAUAAACGAGGAGAAUUCACACUGAGAUUUAGAUUUCCAUCUUCUGAAAAACCAGAUGAUCUACACUUUUGACGUGAGUCCUCAUCUUCUAGACCAACCAUGCCUGUUCUGGUCACUUCCCCUCUUCCCCGCGAGUUACUUGGCGGUUGACUACAGUUAAACUUGCCUCCUCGAUUAUCAUAAGUAGCUGGGUAUUUAAAAUUAUGCAAUGCCAGGUGGACAAUAAUUAUGAUUAGGAAGAUUAGCUGUUUUUAUAUUAUACUCUUGGGCUUUUCUGUUGGAAAUUACAGAAAGAGCCAUCUAAAAUCCAUUUCUAUAUUUGCUGCCCGAGUACUGUUGGUACUCUCAGUACUUCCUAUGUUGAAUCUAACAUCAAAUCUCACUUUAGAAUUAACUCACUAAAAAAUAAAUGCUAACAUCCUCUCACCCCAAAAACAAGAAAAAUUAUUUAUCCAAUCAUUUUCCCUGUUUUAACAUUAGCUGUUAGAAAGUCCAGAGCCAUAUUUCUAACUAUAUUGUAUGAGAAUUUAUGAGUUAUACAUAUUCUAUUUUUGCCUGCUAUUGCUAUUUUAUUUUGAUGUAUGUUCUCAAUUAUUAUUAUGUAUGUACUUUUUAAAAAUGCAACUAUUUCAUACAUGCAUUUCCUAUAAGCUAUCCCAAAUUCUUUGUGAAAUUAAAGUAUAAGUAAAUAAAUAUAGUUAAAUUA